rnacentral:rRNA from 1 species
GACGAACGCUGGCGGCGUGCUGAACACAUGCAAGUCGAACGGAAAGGCCCUGCUUUUGUGGUGUGCUCGAGUGGCGAACGGGUGAGUAACACGUGAGUAACCUGCCCUUGACUUUGGGAUAACUUCAGGAAACUGGGGCUAAUACCGGAUAGGAGCUCCUGCUGCAUGGUGGGGGUUGGAAAGUUUCGGCGGUUGGGGAUGGACUCGCGGCUUAUCAGCUUGUUGGUGGGGUAGUGGCUUACCAAGGCUUUGACGGGUAGACGGCCUGAGAGGGUGACCGGCCACAUUGGGACUGAGAUACGGCACAGACUCCUACGGGAGGCAGCAGUGGGGAAUAUUGCACAAUGGGCGGAAGCCUGAUGCAGCAACGCCGCGUGAGGGAUGACGGCCUUCGGGUUGUAAACCGCUUUAGCCUGUGACGAAGCGUGAGUGACGGUAAUGGGUAAAGAAGCACCGGCUAACUAAGUG